rfam:Oryza barthii chromosome 7, whole genome shotgun sequence.
UUUAAGUGUAACCAUGAGUUUUCGCACCUAAUUUUAACCGUCCGUCUUAUUUGAAAAUUUUUUAUAAUUAGUAUUUUUUGUUGUUAUGAGAUGAUAAAAUAUGAAUAGUACUUUACCCGUGACUUAUGUUUUUAAAUUCUUUAUUUUUUUUCAAAUGAGAUAGAUGAUCAAAGUUGGGCACGAAAAAUCAUGUCUGCACUUAGG